rnacentral:rRNA from 1 species
CAGCUCUCCGAGUAGUGUGGACGUUUAUUGGGCCUAAAGCAUCCGUAGCUUGCUAGAUAAGUCCUCUGUUAAAUCCACCGAUUCAAUCGUUGGAUUGCGGGGGAUACUGUUUGGCUAGGGGACGGGAGAGGUCGACGGUAUUUCCGGGGUAGGGGUGAAAUCCUAUAAUCCCGGGAGGACCACCAGUGGCGAAGGCUGUCGACUAGAACGCGCCCGACGGUGAGGGAUGAAAGCUGGUGGAGCGAACCGGAUUAGAUACCCGAGUAGUCC